rnacentral:lncRNA from 10 species
AUUUGUGAUGAUUUGAAACCAUAGAAACAAAUCAAAGCUACAGCUCAUGUUUGCAUUGAGCUAAGAUUGCAGGCGCGUGAACUGUUCACACCACCAAAAAUGAGUAAUUUCACUGCUGUAGAAAGAAGACUAGUGACAAAGAUGGAACAGUGAGAAAAGCACCACAUCAGAACUCGGCCAAAGAGAUAUGAGGAGGGGUUGGAUGAAGGC